rnacentral:rRNA from 1 species
UACGUAGGGGGGCAAGCGUUGUCCGGAUUUAUUGGGCGUAAAGAGCGUGUAGGCGGCCUUACAGGUCAGCUGUGAAAACUCGAGGCUCAACCUCGAGACGCCGAUGGAAACCAUCUGACUAGAGUCCGGAAGAGGAGAGUGGAAUUCCUGGUGUAGCGGUGAAAUGCGCAGAUAUCAGGAAGAACACCCGUGGCUAAGGCGGCUCUCUAGUACGGUACUGACGCUGAGACGCGAAAGCGUGGGGAGCGAACAGG